UACGGAGGGUGCGAGCGUUGUCCGGAAUCACUGGGCGUAAAGGGCGCGUAGGUGGCGGGACAAGCGUGCGGUGAAAGCUCGGGGCUCAACCCCGAGUCGGCCGUGCGAACUGUUUUGCUUGAGCACUGUAGAGGCAGGCGGAAUUCCGGGUGUAGCGGUGGAAUGCGUAGAGAUCCGGAAGAACACCGGUGGCGAAGGCGGCCUGCUGGGCAGUAGCUGACACUGAGGCGCGACAGCGUGGGGAGCAAACAGG
rnacentral:rRNA from 1 species